GAUGAAGAACGUAGUGAAAUGCGAUAAGUAAUGUGAAUUGCAGAAUUCAGUGAAUCAUCGAAUCUUUGAACGCACAUUGCGCCCGCCAGCAUUCUGGCGGGCAUGCCUGUUCGAGCGUCAUUUCAACCCUCGAGCCCCCCCGGGGGCCUCGGUGUUGGGGGACGGCACACCAGCCGCCCCCGAAAUGCAGUGGCGACCCCGCCGCAGCCUCCCCUGCGUAGUAGCACACACCUCGCACCGGAGCGCGGAGGCGGUCACGCCGUAAAACGCCCAACUUUCUUAGAGUUGACCUCGGAUCAGGUAGGAAUACCCGCUGAACUUAAGCAUAUCAAUAAGCGGAGGA
rnacentral:misc_RNA from 1 species